AAUGGAUAAGUGUAAAAGUAAGUUAAAGAAACGCAAAUUUGAGGAUAACAUACCUCAGAUCCGAAUUUGCGUUCGAAGCCGUAAAAAACACGUGCGGCAACAGUGAAGGGAGUGUAAAUAACAAACAUUAUUCCCGCUAGUAGUUGGUGCAGUUGUAGGGAAUCUGAAUUUUGUGGUAACCUUUCGCCACAAUGGUGGUAAUCAAACCAGAGAUUGGUGAAUCCAGAGCAACUAAUGAAAUGUUUGAAUGGGAAGACCCAGAAUGUGAAUGAAACCCUCAAUAAUGUUGUGUGAUGUAUGCCUAAACAUGUCUUUGCUGGCCCUAUGACUGAAGUUAGCAGUUUCUGGUACUGUAAUAACUUUUGAUAGCAGGAACUAUAAAAGACUGAAAAUUCUGGAAAAGGUAGGGAUGAAAUUAGGGCAGAACUCACCUUGAGGUCUGCAAAUAGUCCAUGCAGAGUUUGCUGCUUAGUAAAUGACGAAAGGAGCAAGAAAGAUAAGAAGGCAAUUUUUUGUGCAUACGGUGUGGUCGAUCAUAUACUGCAAAACGUAAUCUCUCCAGUCACCAACGAUUUGAAUGUGGUGUUCUUCGCCAGUUUGUUUGCUCCUUGUGUGGAAAGAAGUUUAAGCGCAAACACCAUCUCAAGGAUCACGUCAAGUGUUAUCACAGAGCUUAUCAAGGGACAGCUGCCAUAAGCUAGCCACUGAUAAAAACUGAAGUGCUGUAUCAGACUGCACCAUGGGCUGCACUUUUUCGUUUUUCUGCUGUAGUGAUGUGCUACUGUGCUGUUGCAUGUAACAUUGGUGGCUGCUGAUGCACAGCAGCCAGGCUUGUUCGUUGUGACGAGCAAAAUUUUUUCCUGGGGAGUUAUGCUCUGUAACAGGAUUCAGUCACCAUAUUGAAACAAAAGACAAGCUUCUUUAUGGAAUUAGCAAUGAACAGUACAUACAGGCUGCCAAAGCAAGUUUUUAUGCAUUCGCUGCGGCCGAUCAUAUACUACAAAGCGUAAUCUCUCCAGUCACCAACGAUUUGAGUGUGGAGUUGUUCCCCAAUUUAUUUGCAUGGUAUGUGAAAGGGGGUUUAAACGCAAACACCAUCUCACUUAUCAUGUCAAUAUAUGCCGCAAAGCUCAACAAGGUAAGUUUUUAUGCAUUCGCUGCGGCCGAUCAUAUACUUCAAAGCAUAGUCUCUCCAGUCACCAACGAUUUGAGUGUGGAGUUGUUCCCCAAUUUAUUUGCAUGGUAUGUGAAAGGGGGUUUAAACGCAAACACCAUCUCACUUAUCAUGUCAAUAUAUGCCGCAAAGCUGAACAAGGCAAGUUUUUAUGCAUUCGCUGCGGCCGAUCAUAUACUUCAAAGCAUAGUCUCUCCAGUCACCAACGAUUUGAGUGUGGAGUUGUUCGCCAAUUUAUUUGCAUGGUAUGUGAAAGGAGGUUUAAACGCAAAGCGCAUCUCUCUCAUCAUGUCAAGAGGUGCUACAAAGCUCAACAAGGAAAGAAUCCAGAUGGUAUAUAAUUACUCAUGGAAGGCAUAAUUAUUGAUUUAUGUGCUUUCAUGUGUAUUGGCUUGUUAAUUCACCUCAAAUUAAAUUGUUUGAAUGAGCAACAAAUUAGAAAUGUCAGUCUAAGCAAAUGCUUGAAUACUGUAAUAGAAUAGCAGAUGCUAUUUAUUUCAAAUUAGGAAGUGGUUUAUGGUGAUCUCUCUCCUUCUUUCAUUAUCUUAUUAUUCCUGUUUACUGUCCAUACUGGGAUCUGAUACUCCUGGUGACGUUUCUCCUUUAUGUAUUUAUGCUGUGUAUUAACAAACUUAUAGUAUUCCUAGACUAGCUUCUUACGGACAGUUUACAUACAGGCAAAGACUGAGAAGAUCAAAUACAUAUACAGGAUUGGCAACUAAAGUAAUAAGGCUAAUGGCAUAGUGUACAUCUGACGUCAUGGUCAUGCUUUUGUCUGCGGCAGUGACACCAUAAUGGCUUCCUUGAAAUAAGCUUCCAACUUGUUCAUGAGCUUCAAAUAAGUGUUCACAACUUUUUCAAGAAUUUGCUCUUUACAAUGCAUUCAGAAUAUGAGGGUUAGUCAUUUCAAACAAUUGUUGCCUUCAGGGUUUCAUAGUGUGAUAUACCAAGAGAAAUUUUUGUUUGCUUUCCUAACAUCUUAAAUUGUACUCACUUAACAGAAUUCCAGCUACAUAGCUGUGAAAUUAUUUACUGUAGGAAAUGUUGAGAAUGCUAGUAAUGAUAUGUAAAUCUAAAACUUUACUUUCUAGUUGUGAUGUAAAUACAAUGUUUUUGUUCGUUUCUAAAAACAAUCAUUGUACUCGGGUAAUGAAUCUAUUAUUUGUAUAGAUAUACUGACACACAUAAUGUUGUACAAGCUGCCAUUAAAGAUAACAGAUGUGUUUUACACUCUUACUGUUGCAUAAAGAAAGUAACAUUUUGUGUGAACUUUACAAAAUCAGCAUUCUAAAGUCAUUCUGCACGAAUCAUUGUCUUGUUUAUGUGUUUCUUUGGCAAUAAUAAACUCUUUGGAAUUUUCAAUUAGUGAGCAUGUUGAGACACAUAUGUGCCUAUCAGGAAUUUCUGAAGAAGUAAUAAGGUGUUUUUUGGAUAUUACUACAAACUGAGAAUCUUGUUCAAAUUAAGGCAGUUGCAGUAUGGCAUAUUUAUAUUUCUGACAGUAAAUUGAAACUAAGAGCUGACAUAGAAUAUCUAAUUUUUCAGUACUCCUGAAUUUUUAAUUCCCAUUAUCAGUCUGUACUCAGUUUGCCACUUUGUUGCUUUGAAAACAUUUCUCUAAAGUAACGGAACUUAACAUUACUGCAAAAUUCAGGGUUUAUAUUAUUUGAUUAACAUGUACAAGGUAAUAGUUCAUUUGUUACAGGGUCUAAUUAAGUAAAAAUAGACGUGAUUAUUAAGAUGUUCAGUAAAAUGAAUUGAUCUGACUGUUUCAAUCAAAGACCUCAUUUAUAUCUUUCUGAUUGCUUGAGUAUUUGAUAAGUUCAGCUUGUUAUGUUUUUACAGGAAGGUCAAGUGUAUCAGGACUGCAGACAUGUAUCAGCAACAAAUAAUUAGUUAUUUGCAUAACUUUAUUUAUUUAUUUGAAUUAAUCGUUUAAAUCUUAUGAUCACUCCUUGUACAGAUUUGCAAGUAUUUUUACCUUACUUUUAUGCUAUAUUGAUAGCUUAUGAACCAUUUGCUUCUUUU